rnacentral:rRNA from 1 species
AUUGAACGCUGGCGGCAGGCCUAACACAUGCAAGUCGAACGAGUGGCGGACGGGUGAGUAAUGUCUGGGAAAAUGCCCGAUGGAGGGGGAUAACUACUGGAAACGGUAGCUAAUACCGCAUACCAUCGGAUGUGCGCAGAUGGGAUUAGCUUGUAGGUGAGGUAACGGCUCACCUAGGCGACGAGCCCUCGCUGGUGUGAGAGGAGGAACAGCCAAACUGGAACGUGGCAACGGCACACACUCCUACGGGAGUGAGCAGUGGCGAAUAUUGCACAAUGGGCGCAAGCCUGAUGCAGCCACGCCGCGUGUAUGAUGAAUGCCUUCGGUUUGCAAAGUACUUUCAUCUGGGCGGCGUUACCCGCAGAAGAAGCACCGGCUAACUCCGUGCCAGCAGCCGCGGUAAUGC